CCCUGCGGAACACCGCGCUCG
rnacentral:miRNA from 1 species